AUAAUAAUUAUUUAACUGCCUUAAGGGAGUGUUAACAUUUUGAAUGGCUACUGUUAAAUUUACAUCUGAACUAUACAACACUAAAUCAUCUGCAAAUUGAAAUCCGAUAUGAGAGAAAUGAAGCUAUCAACACAACUUCUUCCUCUGCGAAAUCCAUAUUGAAUGUGUGGAAUGACAUUAUUGGAUUCUGCAUACCAGUCAAGUCGAGAUUUCACCAUAUUUUUCCAAUACAUGAUGAUAACGAGAUUGGACGAUAAGAACUGAUCUGUUCAGGUGACUUAUCUGGUUCUAAUAUAGGUAUUACACAUUGAGUUUGCCAUGAACUUGGUAUGAGUUUUUUAUGCCAUAGAUUAUUAAGAACAUUCAAAAAUAGCUUUUGUACAGAUUCAGAUAGAUGUUUUAUUAAUAAAUAUGGAAAAUCAUCUAAACCAGGACUAGUAUUUCUUCUAGAUUGUAUACUCAUUAAAAGUUCAGACCAUGAAAAAGAAUCCAAUAAAAAUUUAGAUUGAGGAUUUUCAUUGUUAAUAUUAAAAUAAUUGUCUAAUGAAUUUGGGUCAAGUAAAUUGUUACUAUCUGAUAACUUAUCUAAAAGUGGCUCUACAAAUUCAUCCCUAUAUGAUUUAUUACCAAUUCUGAUACCCUUAAACUUUUUAAUGAGAUUCCAAAUUUUACUGAUGGGUGUAGUUCUAUUGAAACUAUUGCAAAAACCAUUCCAACUGAUUCUUUUUUGCUCCUUUAUAGUGCGUUUUUUUAAAGCAUCUAAUCUUUUAUAGUUGAUGUAAUUGUAUUCUGUUGAAUCAUUUCUAUACAAUUUCAAGGCUUUGUAAGAUUGUAUUAUGGCUUGUUCACAUAUACUGUUCCACCAAGGGGCUGGUGGUCUACUCCUAAAGUUAGUCCUAGUGAAUCUAGGAACUGCCAUGAGUUUGAGUUUAUUGAGCCGGUUACAAAACUCAUCAUAAGAUUUUAUUGGACUCUCUUCGCUAACCAUCAUGUCAUGGAAGACCAAACCAGACAAUUCACUAUACUUUGUCCAAUCUGUUUUAUCAUAUAAAAAUCUGUCAACAUGUUUAUUAAUUGUGUAUCUUUCAAUGCAUAUUGUAAUGUUUGUUAUGGUUGGAUAAUGAUAACUACCCAUAGCAUCAUCAUGUACUGACCAUUCACAAAGAGGAGCCACACAUGGACUAACAAAGCUUACAUCUAUUGCUGAGGGGUUGCGUGUAGGAUAAUUUAUUUUUUUAUUUAUGUAUUUUGAAUAAUGGUAGCUUUACUACCAUUAUUCAAAAUACAUAAAUCACAUUCAUCAAUUAUAUUAUAUAAGUUAUUCCCUCGACUUUUCGUAGACAUCCAAAAGCAAUAUGAUGUGCAUUGAAAUCACCACUUACAAAAAGUGGCUUCGGUAAUUCUCUUAUAAUAUUGUGCAUUCUAUUCAUUCUUAUACUCCUACGUGACGGAGGACAGUACACACAAAGAAUAGACAGUGUAGUAUUUUCUGUGUAUAUACUUAUGGCUAUAGUUUGAAUAUCUUCAUAAAAAGUAGUAUUUAUAACAUUGUGUUUCAAAUAUGGUUUAAUUAAUAUUCCUACACCACUACGAGGAUUUUUUGAAUUUUUAUUGUAGAAAUAUAAAAAGAUUGAUGGUCUUUUAACCAUGUCUCAUUUAGUAAACAAAUAUCAAUAUUAUUUUCAUUUAAGAAUUUUGUAAGAAGAUGUUUUUUAUGAUUUGCACCUUGAACAUUAAAUUGCGCAAUACGUAGAGAUGAUGUUGUAUAUGGUUGUGUAUCCAUUAUAUUGACAAAUUUUUAAUAAGUAUAUUAUCUUUAAUAAAUGUUGUAGUUAUAGGCUCAUUAUCAUUCUUAUUACCUAUUUGAACCAGUGUUUGUACCAGGGCCAUAAGUACAUCACUGUUUGCAAUUAUUUGUGAUUUUAUAUCAUUAAUACUUACAGCCUGUGAGACAGGCUUAAUAUUUACAGAUUUAUUUACAUGUUUGGGUGCAUUAUUUACACUAAUCACUUUUUUAUUUACAGGGUUGGAGCGUGGUGGAAGAGGAGGGAACUCAUUGUUAUCUUUUGUGCUGGCAAUGCUUGCAUAUGUUAUUUUAUUUUUCUUUUCUAGGAUUUUAUUCAUUUUUAUUGGACACAUUUUGGAUAUUGCUAAAUGAGGUCCACUGCAAUUUACACAGCAAAUCUCAUUUUGUUUAUUGCAGUCUUUAUAAGAAUGUUCACCUGAACAAAUAGAGCAACGCUGUUUGCCAUUACAAAUUUUAGCAUAAUUAUUAAAUUUCAUACAUUUGAAACAUUGUUGGAGAGGAGGUAUAUAUUCAAACACUCUGUAAAAAAAUAAAUCAUAUUGGACACUCUCAGGUAAAGAGUUUGCCAAAAAUGUGAUACUAACAGUUUGUGUUCCGACUAAUUCAUUGCCAAUUUUUUUCAUAAAUCUCCUAACUCCAAUUAUUUCAUUUGUAGAAGUUAAUUUCGUAAAUAGUUCUUUAUUUGAUAUACUUGCAGGCACAAAUCUGAUAAUACCAGUUUUUUCAAUUUGAGCUGCUGGAAUGUAUGCUUUCAUAUCAUGUUUCUCAAGAAAAUGUAUAUUGUGUAUCAAGUUAUUAGCUGUAUUAUGUUGUUUAAAUAUGACAACAAUUUUAUUUGCGCUAAUUCGCCUUAUUGCCACCAUGCCUUUAAUUUCGGAGAAUAUGUGGUUUAAAUAUAUUGGGCUUUUAUUUCCCAGCCUAUCCUGAAUAUUUUUGUUUUCAAUAAAAACCUUAAAUUCCAUAUUAGCAGAAUUUUCUGGAUAUAGUCUUUUAUAAUUUGGCUUGAGAUAUGGGAUAUACGAGUCUUUCUCACCGCCUCCGCCGCCAGCAUCAGAAACAUUUUGGGGAUCUUCGAGCCGCCGUCGUGGUCUCUUUUUUGAGUUGGGCGGGUCAAGCCCGCCCCCCUCGUUUCCUUCCAUUUUUAUUAUUUAUACACUAUGUUUAUAUUUAAUUUGUCUAUUAAUACUGUUAUUUACAAAGAAAUAAUCUUUAUUUUAAUUAAAGUAUUAUUUUAGAAAAAAAUAGUACCGCGCUUUUUCAAUUUCCCGCCAAGA